GACGAACGCUGGCGGCGUGCUUAACACAUGCAAGUCGAACGGAAAGGCCCUGCUUUUGUGGGGUGCUCGAGUGGCGAACGGGUGAGUAACACGUGAGUAACCUGCCCUUGACUUUGGGAUAACUUCAGGAAACUGGGGCUAAUACCGGAUAGGAGCUCCUGCUGCAUGGUGGGGGUUGGAAAGUUUCGGCGGUUGGGGAUGGACUCGCGGCUAUCAGCUUGUUGGUGGGGUAGUGGCUUACCAAGGCUUUGAGGGGGAGCCGGCCUGAGAGGGUGACCGGCCACAUUGGGACUGAUAUACGGCCCGGACUCCUACGGGAGGCAGCAGGGGGGAAUAUUGCACAAGGGGCGGAGGCCUGAUGGAGCAACGCCGGGUGCGGGAGGACGGCUUUGGGUUUGUAACCCGCUUUCGCCUGUGAGGAAGGGUGAGGGAGGGUAAGGGGUAAAGAAGCCCCGGCUAACUAGGUG
rnacentral:rRNA from 1 species